UACGUAGGGGGCAAGCGUUGUCCGGAUUUAUUGGGCGUAAAGAGCGUGUAGGCGGUUUGGUAGGUCCGCUGUGAAAACUCGAGGCUCAACCUCGAGACGCCGGUGGAAACCAUCAGACUAGAGUCCGGAAGAGGAGAGUGGAAUUCCUGGUGUAGCGGUGAAAUGCGCAGAUAUCAGGAAGAAUACCCGUGGCUAAGGCGGCUCUCUAGUACGGUACUGACGCUGAGACGCGAAAGCGUGGGGAGCGAACAGG
rnacentral:rRNA from 1 species